rnacentral:rRNA from 1 species
AACAAUACAGGACUUUUUGGUUUUGUAAUUGGAAUGAGUUAAGUAUAAACCCCUUUACAAGUAUCAAUUGGAGGGCAAGUCUGGUGCCAGCAGCCGCGGUAAUUCCAGCUCCAAUAGCGUAUAUUAAAGUUGUUGCAGUUAAAAAGCUCGUAGUUGGAUUUCUGUUAAAUUGUUUAUAUACAAUAUUUUAAAAAUAUUUAUAUAACGUUAACAUAAUUCACAUUACUUCUUUUUUUUUUUUUAAAUAAAAGAAAAAAGUAUGUGAAAUUUUACUUUGAGAAAAUUAGAGUGCUUAAAG